rnacentral:rRNA from 1 species
CUACGGAGGAUGCGAGCGUUAUCCGGAUUUAUUGGGUUUAAAGGGAGCGUAGGCGGGAGCUUAAGUCAGCGGUUAAAUGGUGCGGCUCAACCGUGCCCUGCCGUUGAAACUGGGUUUCUUGAGAGUGCAAGAGGCGGAUGGAAUUCAUGGUGUAGCGGUGAAAUGCUUAGAUAUCAUGAAGAACUCCGAUUGCGAAGGCAGUCCGCUGGGGCACGUCUGACGCUGAUGCUCGAAGGUGCGGGAAUCAAACAGGAUUAGAUACCCUGGUAGUCCGCACGGUAAACGAUGAUUACCCGCUGUCGGCGGUAGACAGUCGGCGGCCAAGCGAAAGCGAUAAGUAAUCCACCUGGGGAGUACGCCGGCAACGGUGAAACUCAAAGGAAUUGACGGGG